rnacentral:rRNA from 1 species
AGUGAACGCUGGCGGUAGGCCUAACACAUGCAAGUCGAACGUCAGCACAGUAAGAGCUUGCUCUUACGGGUGGCGAGUGGCGGACGGGUGAGGAAUACAUCGGAAUCUACUUUUUCGUGGGGGAUAACGUAGGGAAACUUACGCUAAUACCGCAUACGACCUACGGGUGAAAGCAGGGGAUCUUCGGACCUUGCGCGAUUGAAUGAGCCGAUGUCGGAUUAGCUAGUUGGCGGGGUAAAGGCCCACCAAGGCGACGAUCCGUAGCUGGUCUGAGAGGAUGAUCAGCCAAACUGGAACUGGGACACGGUCAAGACUCCUACGGGAGGCAGCAGUGGGGAAUAUGGGACAAUGGGCGCAAGCCUGACCCAGCCAUACCGCGUGGGUGAAGAAGGCCUUCGGGUGGUAAAGCCCUUUUGUGGGGAAAGAAAGGCAGCAGGUUAAUACCCCGCUGUUCGGACGGUACCCAAAGAAUAAGCACCGGCUAACUUCGU